rnacentral:rRNA from 1 species
AGUGAAUGCUGGCGGUAGGCCUAACACAUGCAAGUCGAACGGCAGCACAGUAAGAGCUUGCUCUUACGGGUGGCGAGUGGCGGACGGGUGAGGAAUACAUCGGAAUCUACUUUUUCGUGGGGGAUAACGUAGGGAAACUUACGCUAAUACCGCAUACGACCUACGGGUGAAAGCAGGGGAUCUUCGGACCUUGCGCGAUUGAAUGAGCCGAUGUCGGAUUAGCUAGUUGGCGGGGUAAAGGCCCACCAAGGCGACGAUCCGUAGCUGGUCUGAGAGGAUGAUCGGCCACACUGGAACUGAGACACGGUCCAGACUCCUACGGGAGGCAGCAGUGGGGAAUAUUGGACAAUGGGCGCAAGCCUGAUCCAGCCAUACCGCGUGGGUGAAGAAGGCCUUCGGGUUGUAAAGCCCUUUUGUUGGGAAAGAAAAGCAGCAGGUUAAUACCCCGCUGUUCUGACGGUACCCAAAGAAUAAGCACCGGCUAACUUCGUG